rnacentral:rRNA from 1 species
GAUGAACGCUAGCGGGAGGCUUAACACAUGCAAGUCGAGGGGCAGCACGAGAUAGCAAUAUUUUGGUGGCGACCGGCGCACGGGUGAGUAACACGUAUGCAACCUACCCUGUACAGGGGGAUAACCCGGAGAAAUUCGGACUAAUAUCCCAUAAUGAUAUUUGAAGGCAUCUUCAGAUAUUUAAAGUUUCGACGGUACGAGAUGGGCAUGCGUGACAUUAGCUAGUUGGUAAGGUAACGGCUUACCAAGGCUACGAUGUCUAGGGGUCCUGAGAGGGUGAUCCCCCACACUGGUACUGAGACACGGACCAGACUCCUACGGGAGGCUG